GAUUUCCCGCCCGAACACAAUGAGGCGGGGGCUAUCAUGCAGUCGAGCGGACUGAUUAAAAGCUUGCGUUUUAUGAAGUCAGCGGCGGACGGGUGAGUAACACGUGGGCAACCUGCCUGUAAGACUGGGAUAACUUCGGGAAACCGGAGCUAAUACCGGAUAAUACUAGGAACCUCCUGGUUCCUUGUUGAAAGAUGGUUUCGGCUAUCACUUACAGAUGGGCCCGCGGCGCAUUAGCUAGUUGGUGAGGUAACGGCUCACCAAGGCGACGAUGCGUAGCCGACCUGAGAGGGUGAUCGGCCACACUGGGACUGAGACACGGCCCAGACUCCUACGGGAGGCAGCAGUAGGGAAUCUUCCACAAUGGACGAAAGUCUGAUGGAGCAACGCCGCGUGAGCGAUGAAGGCCUUCGGGUCGUAAAGCUCUGUUGUUAGGGAAGAACAAGUGCGAGAGUAACUGCUCGCACCUUGACGGUACCUAACCAGAAAGCCACGGCUAACUACGUGCCAGCAGCCGCGGUAAUACGUAGGUGGCAAGCGUUGUCCGGAAUUAUUGGGCGUAAAGCGCGCGCAGGCGGUUUCUUAAGUCUGAUGUGAAAGCCCACGGCUCAACCGUGGAGGGUCAUUGGAAACUGGGGAACUUGAGUGCAGAAGAGGAGAGUGGAAAUUCCACGUGUAGCGGUGAAAUGCGUAGAGGAUGUGGGAGGAACACCGAGUGGCGAAAGCGACUCUCUGGUCUGUAACUGACGCUGAGGCGCGAAAGCGUGGGGAGCAAACAGGAUUAGAUACCCUGGUAGUCCACGCCGUAACGAUGAGUGCUGAGUGUUUAGGAGGGUUUCCGCCUCUUUAGUGCUGCAGCUAACGCAUUAAGGCACUCCGCCUGGGGGAGGUAGCGGUCGCAGACUGAAUACUCAAGGGACUUGACGAGGGCCCGCACAGGCGGUGGAGCAUGUGAUUACUGCGAAGGCAUCGCGAGAUCUUACAGGUCUGACAUGCGUCUGCACUCGUAAAGGAUCGGUACGGUCCGUUCGGGGACGGAGGUGGACGUGGUCAUGCGUUGCUUCAGCUCUGGUCCUGGAAGUAUG
rnacentral:rRNA from 1 species